UACGUAGGGUGCAAGCGUUGUCCGGAAUUAUUGGGCGUAAAGAGCUCGUAGGCGGUUUGUCGCGUCUGCUGUGAAAAUCCAGGGCUUAACUGUGGGCGUGCGGUCGAUACGGGCAUCACUGGAGUUCGGCAGGGGAGACUGGAAUUCCUGGUGUAGCGGUGAAAUGCGCAGAUAUCAGGAGGAACACCGGUGGCGAAGGCGGCGACCUGGGUUGAUACUGACGCUGAGGCGCGAAAGCGUGGGGAGCAAACAGG
rnacentral:rRNA from 1 species